GAUGAACGCUGGCGGCGUGCUUAACACAUGCAAGUCGAACGGAAAGGCCCAAGCUUGCUUGGGUACUCGAGUGGCGAACGGGUGAGUAACACGUGGGUGAUCUGCCCUGCACUUCGGGAUAAGCCUGGGAAACUGGGUCUAAUACCGGAUAGGACCACUUCUUGGAUGUUGUGGUGGAAAGUUUUUUCGGUGUGGGAUGAGCUCGCGGCCUAUCAGCUUGUUGGUGGGGUAAUGGCCUACCAAGGCGUCGACGGGUAGCCGGCCUGAGAGGGUGUACGGCCACAUUGGGACUGAGAUACGGCCCAGACUCCUACGGGAGGCAGCAGUGGGGAAUAUUGCACAAUGGGCGCAAGCCUGAUGCAGCGACGCCGCGUGGGGGAGGACGGCCUUCGGGUUGUAAACUCCUUUCGCUAGGGACGAAGCGUUUUGUGACGGUACCUGGAGAAGAAGCACCGGCUAACUACGUG
rnacentral:rRNA from 1 species